AAUAUGCCCAGGAAGGCCACAAUUAUGGCAUAUUGCCACAUUCGGGCACUCUCUAGCAAAAUGUCCAGGUCGUUUGCAGUUCUUGCACAGAUUGCUUUGGCUGCUAAAAAAAGCAAGACAACCUCAAUAUUAAGCAUAAUAUAACAAAAAGCAAGAGCAUUGAAUAAAUAGAACUUACUGGAAAAUCAAUAAUGUUUAAAGCAGGCGUGAAGAAAGGGGGGAAGGAGAGAAAAACAUAACUAAUGAAAAUUCUUCACUUUAUAAUUCUACCAUGCCAUUGACAUUGUUCAGAUCAGCCUUCUUCCACGCGCAUGCGCACACAAAAAAAAAGAACUACCAAGAUUUUCCUCUUUUUCUUUUGGUGCUACUUGAUGCCACAUAAAAACAAGAAACUGGCUAUCCCACUAAGUAAUAUAUUAAGAAACCAAGUAAAGAACUGACAAGAAAACCAAUUAGAUCACCUCCCAUUUGUAAAUAAAAGCAAAUGUUCAUCCGCAUUCAAAGCAGCACAUGUUUCUGCUGCACUGUUCCAAAACAGAUACUACCAAAAUUUUUAGGAAGCAAUACCACAAAUGACUAUCCUGAUAAAACUGACUAGUCAUGUUAAAGCUAUAUGGGUAAACCUCAGUGAUUUAUAUCAUCCAACCUACUUCAUUUUGCAUGCGAUUGAUUAUACAGAUUCACAGGUUUUAAGAAUGAAAAGAUUCCCCAUCACAUCAUCAAGAAUUCUCACUCAACAUGAACAACACAAUUAUCAAACACAGCAAAAAAUCUCUAGAAGCAAAUUCAAAUUCUAAUACUUUUGUUUGGUCUUGUGAGCCACUUGUAAGGCACAUACAAAGGAAAGUAUACUAAGUGAUCAAAAAUCAGAAAACCUGAAACCCCGACGCGACUCUCGUCUGUAAGGUGCACCACGAUAGGAAAAGCGAUCAGAGCGGAUCUUACGAUCCAUUGGGCUCCUGCUCCUGCUUCUGCUGUCUGAACUCAUGCUCAAAAUUACUCUUAAUUACCAACUACCUCCACUGAUCAGCAAAAACAUCAAACCAUCACCAAUACCACACCAGCUGCUGCCUCCUCCCUCACGAAAAAGCAAAUGGCAACGCGAUUUGGACUAGGGCAGAAAUUAAGGGUUUCUGGACUCCUUCAGUUGAAUUACAACAGCCAGAUUGACAAAAAUAGCUUCACAGUGAAGAAGGAACGUGAUGGCGGUGAACGAGAGACGUCGGCAGUGGCUUUAAGUCCGGCAACGGAAGAUUUAGGGUUUGUAAGAGCAGAUCGUGAAUGUAUUUAGCUAUUGUCUGUCACUGUACCCGAUUGAAUCAAGCCACAAAACAUCUAA
rnacentral:misc_RNA from 1 species